rnacentral:SRP_RNA from 1 species
GUACUAGAUGGGGAGAUAGCGGUGCCCUGUAACCCACAAUCCGCUUCAGUGGGGUUGAAUUCCAUUCGGAGGCAAUUCUAUCAAUGAUGCAGUCCUAUGCAAGUAGUGUUGAUAUACAGGUCCUAAGCAAUGAAAACUCAUGAACUCCGUCAGAUUCGGAAGAAAGCAGCGGUAAGUGAUCAUUUUUGUGUGCCUUAGGGAAGCCUGUAAGUAGCCAACUACAUAGGCAACGGUCAGAGCUAGGUGUCGAUGAAUGGUGUA